rnacentral:rRNA from 1 species
UACGGAGGGUGCAAACGUUGCUCGGAAUCACUGGGCGUAAAGCGCGCGUAGGCGGCCCGAAAAGUUGGAUGUGAAAGCCCUGGGCUCAACCCAGGAAGUGCAUUCAAAACUAUUGGGCUUGAAUCUCGGAGGGGGCCAGAGAAUUCCCGGUGUAGAGGUGAAAUUCGUAGAUAUCGGGAGGAAUACCAGUGGCGAAGGCG